UCAGACAAAAAUACUCUUAAGUAUCCAGUAAAGUUGUGGUUAAAUACUUAUUAGCGUAUCGCAAGAUACUAUGAACAUUAUACAUUUAAUAAACUUGAUCAGGUAAACAGCAAUCAUUAUGUUAAUAGAAUCAUUCAAGAGUUUAAUUGUUACCAAGUGUGUGAUUUCUUUUUAUUCAGUAAUGGUUUCUUAGCUACCGGUGUAUAUUUUCCUGUAAGCUGUGCUUUUAGUUCCCAUUAGAUUUUUAGUCUUGGUUACAGUUUCUUUCCUGCGAGGGUUUGUUCCCUUUAUUCUCCCUCCUGAGUCAAGGUCUAUGUAUUCAGUGUUUCAGUUUUUCACUUCCUAUAUCAUUUCUGUUGUCACAUGCUUGUGUCUUGCAUUUAAUUUUGCUACCUUUUGUCAUUGCCGUGAUUAUUUUUGAGCUAUCUCUUGUUUCCUAGGUGUUUCUUAUCUCCUUUUUUUUGCCUCAUGUGUGUGUUUAUAGCCUUAGUCUCCUUCAGUCUUUGUCAGUGUGUCUGUUUAACCUCCCUUGUGAUGACCAGUUCCUGUCUUUAAAUUAAAUUUUUUGUGUGUGUUUUUUUCUUUUUUUUUUUCUUUUUUUUGCACUUUGGGGAUUUUUGAAUCCUACUUUCAUAAAAAGGUCAACUUUAUGUUUCCCUGGUUUGCUGAAAGUCCUGCUUUCAGGUCCUCUUUCUUCCUGAACCUUGCCAGUAUAUUCUGUUUUUUUUUUUGUUUUUGUUUUUUUUUUUUUAUCAACCUUUAAACAAUAACAGGAAAGGAAGAGUUGAAUGUUUUCUAAGGUCACAACAUGAAAAUGCAUUUUAAAUAUUUAAAUUAAAGAUUAUAUUUGAACUAUUGCACUAAAAAUAAACUGGAAUGACUUCAGAGGUCUCUUGACAAUAUAAAUGACAUUGAAAUUAUAGUAAAAGUGCUGUAAAAGUAUUUAAUAGAUCUACAUUUUCUACCCCUCUUGUUCUGGAUGCAGACUUAGGCUGUCAGUUCA
ensembl:lncRNA